rnacentral:ribozyme from 1 species
AAUAGUUUCUCGCGCGAAAUCAUCUACAAUUUUCUCCAUUCGUUUUAUAUCUUCAGCUUCUAGACUUUGUAAGUCAUGCUGGUGCUCCGAGUCCGCAUCUGGAACAGCUAGCAUCCCGGUAGUCCCA